rnacentral:lncRNA from 1 species
UGUUUCUGGAACUAUAUUGACAUGAUGAGUGUCUGCUGUACUGACGAUAGUGGAAGUAUCCAUUUGGAAGGCAUAGACUCUGGAGGUCAGUUCUUCCUCUUCCCAUAAACAGAAGAACUUUGGAAGCAAACAGGGAGGAAUGUGAGGCAUGUGAGCGGGACAGCGUGCAUCCAUGCUGCGUGAUUUUUCAGUUGGAGGUCAAGAUGUUGUUGAAAAUACAAAAUAUGAGCAGGCAGGAUGACCUCUGACCUCUGAUUGAUGCUUUGACCUCUGGCGGACUGCCUACAUUUGCUGGUGAAAAGGAGCAUCUGUCACGCUUUUCCUCAGCCACCGUCUGUCUCUUUCACCGCAGCCUGCACGGUCUAAUGCUGCAGAUUGACUCCCAGCCCCUCCCUCUCCCCUAGCUGACCCCUACCCCCCCCUUCACACACAGCCCCAGUGCAUGUGCAGCAGUGGGAAGUUAGCUGGAGGUUCUGACCUCAUGUCAUGUGGUUCGCUUGGG